rnacentral:rRNA from 1 species
AACGAACGCUGGCGGCAGGCUUAACACAUGCAAGUCGAACGCAUCGCAAGAUGAGUGGCAGACGGGUGAGUAACGCGUGGGAACAUACCCUUUUCUACGGAAUAGCUCUGGGAAACUGGAAUUAAUACCGUAUACGCCCUACGGGGGAAAGAUUUAUCGGGGAAGGAUUGGCCCGCGUUGGAUUAGCUAGUUGGUGGGGUAAAGGCCUACUAAGGCGACGAUCCAUAGCUGGUCUGAGAGGAUGAUCAGCCACAUUGGGACUGAGACACGGCCCAAACUCCUACGGGAGGCAGCAGUGGGGAAUAUUGGACAAUGGGCGCAAGCCUGAUCCAGCCAUGCCGCGUGAGUGAUGAAGGCCUUAGGGUUGUAAAGCUCUUUCACCGAUGAAGAUAAUGACGGUAGUCGGAGAAGAAGCCCCGGCUAACUUCGUGCCAGCAGCCGCCGCAGUAA